rnacentral:rRNA from 1 species
AGAAUGAACGCUGGCGGCGCGCCUAAUACAUGCAAGUCGAGCGAGAAGACGUAGCAAUACGUUUGUAAAGCGGCGAACGGGUGAGGAAUACAUGGGUAACCUACCCUCGAGUGGGGAAUAACUAGCCGAAAGGUUAGCUAAUACCGCGUACGCUUCUUGGACUUCGGUUCAGGGAGGAAAGCGAUGCCGAGGGUAUCGCGCUCUUGGAUGGGCUCAUGUCCUAUCAGCUUGUUGGUGAGGUAACGGCUCACCAAGGCUUCGACGGGUAGCUGGUCUGAGAGGACGAUCAGCCACACUGGCACUGCGACACGGGCCAGACUCCUACGGGAGCAGCAGUAAGGAAUAUUGCGCAAUGGGCGAAAGCCUGACGCAGCGACGCCGCGGUGGGGAUGGAAGGUCGUUCGGAUUACGUAACCCCGUUUCGGGACGGGAAGAGUGGAAGUCGGGUAAACCCUAGUUCGGAACCGGUACCUCCGAGA